CCGAGUUGUAAUUUGUAGAAGAUGCUUUGGGUAUGGCCCCGGUCUAAGUUCGUUGGAACACGACGUCAUAGAGGGUGAGAAUCCCGUAUGUGACUGGGUGCUUUUGCCUAUGUAAAGCUCUUUCGAC
rnacentral:rRNA from 1 species